ACGCUGGCGGCAGGCCUAACACAUGCAAGUCGAGCGGUAGAGAGAAGCUUGCUUCUCUUGAGAGCGGCGGACGGGUGAGUAAUGCCUAGGAAUCUGCCUGGUAGUGGGGGAUAACGUUCGGAAACGGACGCUAAUACCGCAUACGUCCUACGGGAGAAGGCAGGGGACCUUCGGGCCUUGCGCUAUCAGAUGAGCCUAGGUCGGAUUAGCUAGUUGGUGAGGUAAUGGCUCACCAAGGCGACGAUCCGUAACUGGUCUGAGAGGAUGAUCAGUCACACUGGAACUGAGACACGGUCCAGACUCCUACGGGAGGCAGCAGUGGGGAAUAUUGGACAAUGGGCGAAAGCCUGAUCCAGCCAUGCCGCGUGUGUGAAGAAGGUCUUCGGAUUGUAAAGCACUUUAAGUUGGGAGGAAGGGUUGUAGAUUAAUACUCUGCAAUUUUGACGUUACCGACAGAAUAAGCACCGGCUAACUCUGUGCCAGCAGCCGCGGUAAUACAGAGGGUGCAAGCGUUAAUCGGAAUUACUGGGCGUAAAGCGCGCGUAGGUGGUUUGUUAAGUUGGAUGUGAAAUCCCCGGGCUCAACCUGGGAACUGCAUUCAAAACUGACUGACUAGAGUAUGGUAGAGGGUGGUGGAAUUUCCUGUGUAGCGGUGAAAUGCGUAGAUAUAGGAAGGAACACCAGUGGCGAAGGCGACCACCUGGACUAAUACUGACACUGAGGUGCGAAAGCGUGGGGAGCAAAC
rnacentral:rRNA from 1 species